CCUACGGGGGGCUGCAGUGGGGAAUAUUGGACAAUGGGGGGAACCCUGAUCCAGCCAUGCCGCGUGUGUGAAGAAGGCCCUCGGGUUGUAAAGCACUUUCAGUGAGGAAGAACGCCUGGUGGUUAAUACCCAUCAGGAAAGACAUCACUCACAGAAGAAGCACCGGCUAACUCCGUGCCAGCAGCCGCGGUAAUACGGAGGGUGCGAGCGUUAAUCGGAAUUGCUGGGCGUAAAGCGCGCGUAGGUGGCUUGAUAAGCCGGUUGUGAAAGCCCCGGGCUCAACCUGGGAACGGCAUCCGGAACUGUCAAGCUAGAGUGCAGGAGAGGAAGGUAGAAUUCCCGGUGUAGCGGUGAAAUGCGUAGAGAUCGGGAGGAAUACCAGUGGCGAAGGCGGCCUUCUGGACUGACACUGACACUGAGGUGCGAAAGCGUGGGUAGCAAACAGGAUUAGAUACCCCAGUAGUC
rnacentral:rRNA from 1 species